AAACUCAUGAAACAUAAAAACUGUAUAAAAAUUUGUCUAGUGAAACAACAUGAUGAAAAUUAAAUGAGGAACAGCCUGUAGAAUAUAAUACUUGAAAAUAAGUCAUAAAGUAAAAAGCAAAUGGGAAUUAAGGAUUAAAAGUUCGACUGCUUGUCCUGAGAAGAAACGUAAGCUUCCAAAAAUUUGAUAUCCGUUAGGACGAACUUCAACGCACGAGUCCAAUUCUCGUCCUGAUUGAAUGCUAAACGUAUGCAUUUUCCGCCGAUACGGUCAUUUUCAAUGGCAUAGGGUAAAACCGCUGAAGGUGUUUUAGCAGCACAAAAAUCGCCAAAUUGAUGUAAGUAAUCCAGAAAAGCCACCAUGCCUUGGUCAAAUCUACGAUUCAUAAAUAUUUUGAGCUCUCCGCUAGAAAAAAGAUCUAGCUUUGUUGGUUUAACUUGAUUUCCAUUAGGAUCGCGAUCAAAACGAAUUAUAAAAGAUUGGCUGCCAAAAGGCUUCAGCUGAUAGGAAGAGGAAUGAAAGUCUAACUUUUCAGUCAAAACAUCUAAUAGUAAAACAGUCAUCCCCCAAGCGGCAUUUAUCUCAGCCCAAUUAACUUUCUGGCUUGGAAGCCUUCCCAAGCGUAAGCCAUUAAUUGUAGCAAUAGAGCCCUCUCCAUUCGGCUCAGAAUAAUGAGAAAUGUAAAAAAUAUCACUGAAAACAUUCAUUUUCUGAAGCUUCUCGAGCUUCCUAGAGUUAUGCUCAAACUCCAAGUUUGCACAAUCGUAUUGUCUUUCUAAACUCAGCUUUUUUAUUUGAAAUUGGUUUAGAUUAUUGUAGAACUCUUGCUCCUCGGCAUAAACUUUUUCCUUUUCUUCGUCCAAUUCACGUAGCAACUUUUGAAGUUUGUCUGUUUCAUCACUAAUUUCCUCGAUCUUUUCUUCUUUCUCAUUAAUCUGUUUCAUUAAUUCAUCUAUCUCAGAAUCAAGCGCAGCAGUAUUUUCUUCAUGCACUGUUUGACUUGAUAAGAAAUUAUCAUAAUUAAAAUACAUUUUUUUUUCCUCUUUUAGGGCCCUUAAUGUUUUAGACAUCUCUUCAGUCAAUAACUCAGCACAUUCGACACAAAGAGGGUGAUCGACUUUGGUUUUAGAGGAUAAAAGAUCAAAUAUUCUGUUAUAAAUUUCUAUUUUCCAACUAAAAAGAUCAUUCACCUCUUCAGGCGAAUUCUUUUCUUCUUCAUAGCCAUCUUUAGCAGCUGGCAAUACAACAAAUGAAUCUAAAGUGGGCGUCCUCAAUUCGGGCGGUGGUACAUUAUCAAAAUUGUAAUCACCUUCGCUUAUUGUUUUUUUGUAAAGUUGCAAUCUCUGAGCUGGAUAGUCUUCAGAAGAAGAAUUCAUUUGAUCAUCACUCUCCCCACUCUCAUUCAUCUCUGUCAACGAUGAUGCUUGAACAAAUCUACUUUUCGGAAGAUUUUUUAGCUUUAACAAGUCAUCAUCGUAAACAUCUUUAAAAUUUAUCAAAGAAUGACACCUCUGACACAAAUACUGCAUGUUACGCAGAUUCUCGAGGAUGAGUAUUGCCUUCGUAUUGACAUGAGGAAAAGCGACUACGAAUACCACUGUUUGUUAGCAUUCGUUAUUCCUUUUGAUUUCGUAGGCGUAAUACUAUUCAUGAUCGAGGCUAAAAUGUAAGCUCUUUUGUGAGGUUAAGAGUUCACUAAGUGAUAAAAUAAAACAAUUCUUUAGAAAGCUGUGUGCAAUGUUUUUCUAAUAAAUAAAAUCCAGAAAUCAUUAAGCCUAGAGAAACGCCUUAGUUUUCGAACAAGAUCAGACUUCCUAUUAUACAUUAUAAUUGUAUAACACUUGCAGCACGGAAUGGAAAAACUUUAUAACACAAGUUUACUUAUGGCAUUAUGAACAAUGACUUUUGCAAUCGUUUUAAAAUUGAUAAAA
rnacentral:lncRNA from 1 species